rnacentral:tRNA from 1 species
AGUGGGUUGGCACAGAGGUUAGAGCGUAGGUCUCGUAACCAAAAGGUUGCGGGAUCGAAUCCCGCUAGAGGCUG